CACAGUCCGAAUCAGCAAGGCAAAGGGUAAAUCCAAGACAGGCUAUAAACUUCAGGGCAGGCAGAAAUCAGACAGGACGAGAUAACAGGCUACGAUCAAGACACGGGAAAACAGACUAUGAAC